rnacentral:tRNA from 1 species
GUAGCUAUAGUUUAACUAAAACAUUAGAUUGUGAAUCUAAUAAUAGAAGUUCACGACUUCUUAUCUACC